rnacentral:rRNA from 1 species
GUUGGGUGGGGGUAAGGCCUACCAAGGCGACGAUCAGUAGCCGGCCUGAGAGGGUGAACGGCCACACUGGGACUGAGACACGGCCCAGACUCCUACGGGAGGCAGCAGUGGGGAAUCUUCCGCAAUGGACGAAAGUCUGACGGAGCAACGCCGCGUGUAUGACGAAGGCCUUCGGGUUGUAAAGUACUGUUUUCAGGGACGAAUGGUAGAGGUGUAAAUAAUGCCUUUACAUGACGGUACCUGAAGAGGAAGCCCCGGCUAACUACGUGCCAGCAGCCGCGGUAAUACGUAGGGGGCAAGCGUUGUCCGGAAUCAUUGGGCGUAAAGGGCGCGUAGGCGGAUAUUUAAGUCUGGUGUG